rnacentral:lncRNA from 1 species
UAACAAGAAAAUCUUUAUAUGGCUUACUCAACACUCAUUUUUAUUCACAUCGGAACAAGAAAAAGUGUUAACAAUAAUAUGUCAUAUCCAUAUGUGGUGUGUGUAAGGAGCACCAUCUCUAUGAUGAGUGCACGCAUUUUUGGAAAAUACAUAGAUUGACGUAAAUAAUCAAUAAUCGUUUAUAGUAUUGAUAAAUGGUACGUGGCUAAGAAAACUCUUUGAGUUCAUCAGAUUAUGAGUCCCUCUAUUCGCCUCCUUGCCUCCGUUUUCCUGUUUCUUCGGAAAGAGUUCCUGGAUGAGUUUCUACAAGCCCUUAUCCUCAUUCAGAUGGUAAUGUCAAAAAAGUUCAACCCUAGGAAUCUGUAUUUUUACCGACCAAGAACUAACUUACGAAAAAAUGGAAGAGCUCAUAUCGUUUUAAAUCAAAAUCUUUUAAGAGCAUAAUAAUUAGUAGUGACAAAUGAUAACCUUAAAUAGUGUUCUCUGCAUGACAAUCAUUUCGAGGAGCUUGAACGGUAGUGACCAAAAAUUCUUCUUUUAUAUUAUAUACUUAUAGAAAUCUAAAUACUAAGUUUAUCAGAGCCCUCUGAUCUCUUGUGCAAUGGAAGGAAAUAUCGAUGUUUUAAUCGUUUGUUGUAAAUUUAAAAUCAUUUUUGAAUUUGUUACUCUUGACUUAUACUUAUGAAUUUGACUAUUAUAUUUUUCUUCGUAGAAUGUGAAUAUGAUAAUACAUAUUCAGAUGGUCUUUUUAAUUUUA